rnacentral:rRNA from 4 species
AUGCUGGAGGUAUCAGAAGUGCGAAUGCUGACAUAAGUAACGAUAAAGCGGGUGAAAAGCCCGCUCGCCGGAAGACCAAGGGUUCCUGUCCAACGUUAAUCGGGGCAGGGUGAGUCGACCCCUAAGGCGAGGCCGAAAGGCGUAGUCGAUGGGAAACAGGUUAAUAUUCCUGUACUUGGUGUUACUGCGAAGGGGGGACGGAGAAGGCUAUGUUGGCCGGGCGACGGUUGUCCCGGUUUAAGCGUGUAGGCUGGUUUUCCAGGCAAAUCCGGAAAAUCAAGGCUGAGGCGUGAUGACGAGGCACUACGGUGCUGAAGCAACAAAUGCCCUGCUUCCAGGAAAAGCCUCUAAGCAUCAGGUAACAUCAAAUCGUACCCCAAACCGACACAGGUGGUCAGGUAGAGAAUACCAAGGCGCUUGAGAGAACUCGGGUGAAGGAACUAGGCAAAAUGGUGCCGUAACUUCGGGAGAAGGCACGCUGAUAUGUAGGUGAAGCGACUUGCUCGUGGAGCUGAAAUCAGUCGAAGAUACCAGCUGGCUGCAACUGUUUAUUAAAAACACAGCACUGUGCAAACACGAAAGUGGACGUAUACGGUGUGACGCCUGCCCGGUGCCGGAAGGUUAAUUGAUGGGGUUAGCGCAAGCGAAGCUCUUGAUCGAAGCCCCGGUAAACGGCGGCCGUAACUAUAACGGUCCUAAGGUAGCGAAAUUCCUUGUCGGGUAAGUUCCGACCUGCACGAAUGGCGUAAUGAUGGCCAGGCUGUCUCCACCCGAGACUCAGUGAAAUUGAACUCGCUGUGAAGAUGCAGUGUACCCGCGGCAAGACGGAAAGACCCCGUGAACCUUUACUAUAGCUUGACACUGAACAUUGAGCCUUGAUGUGUAGGAUAGGUGGGAGGCUUUGAAGUGUGGACGCCAGUCUGCAUGGAGCCGACCUUGAAAUACCACCCUUUAAUGUUUGAUGUUCUAACGUUGACCCGUAAUCCGGGUUGCGGACAGUGUCUGGUGGGUAGUUUGACUGGGGCGGUCUCCUCCUAAAGAGUAACGGAGGAGCACGAAGGUUGGCUAAUCCUGGUCGGACAUCAGGAGGUUAGUGCAAUGGCAUAAGCCAGCUUGACUGCGAGCGUGACGGCGCGAGCAGGUGCGAAAGCAGGUCAUAGUGAUCCGGUGGUUCUGAAUGGAAGGGCCAUCGCUCAACGGAUAAAAGGUACUCCGGGGAUAACAGGCUGAUACCGCCCAAGAGUUCAUAUCGACGGCGGUGUUUGGCACCUCGAUGUCGGCUCAUCACAUCCUGGGGCUGAAGUAGGUCCCAAGGGUAUGGCUGUUCGCCAUUUAAAGUGGUACGCGAGCUGGGUUUAGAACGUCGUGAGACAGUUCGGUCCCUAUCUGCCGUGGGCGCUGGAGAACUGAGGGGGGCUGCUCCUAGUACGAGAGGACCGGAGUGGACGCAUCACUGGUGUUCGGGUUGUCAUGCCAAUGGCACUGCCCGGUAGCUAAAUGCGGAAGAGAUAAGUGCUGAAAGCAUCUAAGCACGAAACUUGCCCCGAGAUGAGUUCUCCCUGACUCCUUGAGAGUCCUGAAGGAACGUUGAAGACGACGACGUUGAUAGGCCGGGUGUGUAAGCGCAGCGAUGCGUUGAGCUAACCGGUACUAAUGAACCGUGAGGCUUAACCUU